UACGGAGGGUGCGAGCGUUGUCCGGAAUCAUUGGGCGUAAAGGGCGCGUAGGUGGCCCGGUCAGUCUUUGGUGAAAGCGCGGGGCUCAACCCUGCGUCGGCCAGGGAUACUGCCGCGGCUCGAGCACUGUAGAGGCAGGCGGAAUUCCGGGUGUAGCGGUGGAAUGCGUAGAGAUCCGGAAGAACACCGGUGGCGAAGGCGGCCUGCUGGGCAGUUCCUGACGCUGAGGCACGAAGGUCAGGGGAGCAAACGGG
rnacentral:rRNA from 1 species